UACGAAGGGGGCGAGCGUUGUUCGGAAUUACUGGGCGUAAAGGGCGCGUAGGCGGCCGAUCUAGUCAGAUGUGAAAGUCCUGGGCUUAACCUGGGGACUGCAUUUGAUACUGAUUGGCUUGAAUGCAGGAGAGGAUAGCGGAAUUCCCAGUGUAGAGGUGAAAUUCGUAGAUAUCGGGAGGAACACCGGUGGCGAAGGCGGUUCUCUGGGCCUGUACUGACGCUGAGGAGCGAAAGCGUGGGGGAGCAAACAGG
rnacentral:rRNA from 1 species